rnacentral:lncRNA from 1 species
CGGAUUCCACUUUUUCCCGGCACUCGCCUCGAUUCUACCAUUUUUCGGUACUCACACUGAUUCGACCAUUUUCUCGUACUCGUCGGGACACUUUUUCGACAAUCGCACGGAUUCUACUAUUUCCCGGUACUCGCCCGGAUUCUUACAUUUUUCGGUACUGACACUGAUUCAACCCUUUUCUCGUUCUCGCCCGGACAGUUUUUCGAUACUCGCACGGAUUCUAUCUUUUCCCGGUACUCACCCGGAUUCUACCUUUUUUUCGGUAGUCACACUAAUUUGACUUUUUUCCGGUAUUAGUCGGGACACUUUUUCGGUACUCACACUGAUUCGACCCUUUUCCGGAACUCCUCGAUACAGUUUUUCGAUACUUGCACGGAUUCUACUAUUUCCCGGUACUCGCCCGGAUUCUUCCAUUUUUCGGUACUCACACUGAUUCAACCCUUUUCUCGUACUCGCCCAGGUAGUUUUUUGAUACUCGCACGGAUUCUACCUUUUCCCGGUACUCACCCGGAUUCUACCAUUUUUCGAUACUCACACUAAUUCGAGCCUUUUCCGGUAUUAGUCGGAACACUUUUUCGGUACUCACACUGAUUCGACCCUUUUCCGGAACUCGUCGGUACAGUUUUUCGAUACUCGCACGGAUUCUACCUUUUCCCGGUACUCACCCGGAUUCUACCAUUUUUCGGUAGUCACACUAAUUUGACCUUUUUCCGGUAUUAGUCGGGACACUUUUUCGGUACUCAUACUGAUUCGACCCUUUUCCGGAACUCGUCGGUACAGUUUUUCGAUACUUGCACGGAUUCUACUAUUUCCCGGUACUCGUCCGGAUUCUUCCAUUUUUCGAUACUCACACUGAUUCAAUCCUUUUCUCGUACUCGC